rnacentral:rRNA from 1 species
UACGUAGGGUGCGAGCGUUAAUCGGAAUUACUGGGGCGUAAAGGCUCGUAGGCGGCCAACUAAGUCAGACGUGAAAUCCCCUCGGCUUAACCGGGGGAACUGCGUCUGAUACUGGAUGGCUUGAGUUUGGGGAGAGGGAUGCGGAAUUCCAGGUGUAGCGGUGAAAAUGCGUAGAUAUCUGGAGGAACACCCGGUGGCCGAAGGCGGCAUCCUGGACCAACACUGACGCUGAGUGAGCGAAAGCCAGGGGAGCAAACGGG